AUUGAACGCUGGCGGCAUGCUUUACACAUGCAAGUCGAACGGCAGCGCGGGCUUCGGCCUGGCGGCGAGUGGCGAACGGGUGAGUAAUGCAUCUGAACGUGCCCAGUAGUGGGGGAUAGCCCGUCGAAAGCCGGAUUAAUACCGCAUACGACCUGAGGGUGAAAGCGGGGGACCGAAAGGCCUCGCGCUAUUGGAGCGGCCGAUGUCGGAUUGGCUAGUUGGUGGGGUAAAGGCUUACCAAGGCGACGAUCCGUAGCUGGUCUGAGAGGACGACCAGCCACACUGGGACUGAGACACGGCCCAGCCUCCUACGGGAGGCAGCAGUGGGGAAUUUUGGACAAUGGGGGCAACCCUGAUCCAGCCAUGCCGCGUGCGGGAAGAAGGCCUUCGGGUUGUAAACCGCUUUUGUUCGGGAAGAAAUCCUCUGGGCUAAUACCCCGGAGGGAUGACGGUACCGGAAGAAUAAGCACCGGCUAACUACGUG
rnacentral:rRNA from 1 species